AUUUCAGAGGAAAAAUUUGAACUGAUUGCAACCUCUAUUACCAGAUUUCGUUUUUGGUACUAAAAAAUGCUAAAGCAGUACAU
rfam:Flavobacterium sp. 40-81 scnpilot_p_inoc_scaffold_151, whole genome shotgun sequence.